rnacentral:rRNA from 1 species
GUUAGGAAUAUUGGACAAUGGGCGCAAGCCUGAUCCAGCCAUGCCGCGUGAACGAUGAAGGCCUUCGGGUUGUAAAGUUCUUUAGCCGAUGAUUAUAAUGACUGUAGUCGGAAAAUAAGCCCCGGCUAACUUCGUGCCAGCAGCCGCGGUAAUACGAAGGGGGCGAGCGUUAUUCGGAAUCACUGGGCGUAAAGCGUGCGUAGGCGGCUUUGCAAGUUGGGAGUGAAAGCCCAGGGCUCAACCCUGGAAUUGCUCUCAAAACUGCAAGGCUCGAAUUCGGGAGAGGAUAGCGGAAUUGUCAGUGUAGCAGUGAAAUGCGUAGAUAUUGACAGGAACACCAGUGGCGUAAGCGGCUAUCUGGACCGAUAUUGACGCUGAGGCACGAAAGCGUGGGGAUCAAACAGGAUUAGAAACCCCUGUAGUCC